UCUAAACCUAGCGCCGCCAUUCCACGCCGCCUCCUCUGCCGAGCUCCUCUCCUUCCCACCCCGUACUCGCCAUCGUAGGUCCACCGCCCUGCGCUCGCCGGCUGCCAGCAGCAGCCCCGGGGACGCCAUCCUCCAGGCGGCGGCCCAGCCCCAGUACGGCCGUCCUCCAGGCGGCGGCCCAGCCUCACGAACACGGUGAUUUUGGAGGCCAUAAGGGAUCCUGCGAUCGAGCGCACAAGGGUUGGUCACUAGAUCUUUAGCAAUAGCUUGGUCAGUUCAUCUAUAGAUUAUGGACACUCACGUAUGCAGGUGUUUGAUAAACAACCUAUGAGAAUACCCUGACAAUACAAGAUGUAUGUCUCUAUACUUAAUAUGGUUACAUGACAUAUACGAGACUAGAUUGAAUUUCUGCAGUGCAUGUUUACCUCGAUGUGAAAAAACGGAUUUUAAAGGCGGCAACCACAAGGAUAAACUAGAGAGGCAGAGAAAACAAGGAGCUAUUGUUCCAUUAUCAGCAUGUAGAUACUACAAGUCACAUAUGUUUGAACUAGUUUGUGAGACAUGUAAUUAUUUUAUAGACAAUGUGUACAAUUGAGUUUGUAAACUACUACUGGCUCCUUCUCACUUUAAUGGUGUAA